rnacentral:lncRNA from 1 species
AGGUAUUCUGCCGCAAACCUGGAAACAAAAACCCGUCCACGAAUAAAGGGAGAGAAAGCUACUGCGCCAAGGGACGAACUACUUGCUCAGGGUCCGACCAGGAUGAGGAGCUAGUGAUAAUUACUGGAAGAAUGCCAUGAUUUGAUGUCAGGAAUGCACACUAGAGGGCAGACGAGAGGCAAGGAGGAAAUCUGUCUACUGAAUUCUGGACCAUUUGGAAACAGAAAGAAUACACAGAUACGCAAAUGUUUAGAUAUGUAUAUCCCGACAGGCGGAUAGCUGCCUGCACCUAUACACCCACAUAUUUAAUAGUAGAAAUAAGGAUGAAGCAACGGGGAAGAAGAAAGACGUCCAUGCGAUGUAGAAUGGCUCGAGGAAACACUGCUGGGCCUAGAACAUAACCGAUGUGGAAUAACCUUAAUGUAGUAGGAUAUUGAAAUCCAACACUUUUAUCUGUCUUAAGCAGUCCAGUUCUGAAGAGGUUCUACCGCGUUUUCACCAGAGUCAAAGAGUGUCUCGGUCCACCCAACAAGGCUUUUGCCGCACAGAUAACCUGGCUUUUGUCUGAUUUCUCUGCAUCUCUCCUUGCAUCCCUUUCCUCUUAUGCGUCCAGUUCCUUGGAAGCGCUCCGCGGCCUCCGACCUCAGUCCCUGUGUCGUCCCUCUCUCCCCGUUUCUACCCCGAAGCGUUUCUUACCGGCCAGCGAAUCCAGUCGCUCCCCACAAAAUGACGUGAAACUCGCGUUCUGAAUCGAAAAACGGCUGAGAACGCUCUCGAAGAGGAGUGCCAGGGACCGAUGAUUCUCCUCCCGAAGGCGUCAUGUUCGCAUGUCGUGCUCGUUUUGGUGACACAAAGUCGGCGGGUGUUGUUCCUUCCGAAGCGAUAUUUCCGGUUGUGUCGGCGUAUCAGCAACCGACCCUCAAUGAUGCAGGUGUCCUGUUUCUCUUUCGUGAAACAGGGACGUCUGAUGCGUUACGUGGAACUUCGUAAGGUGAUCCUCGUUUCGUCAGGGGUCGCUGAUGUCACAAAUUGAAUGGGUUUCUAACCCGGAAAUACUGAAGUACUUCACAAUUGGAGUAGUUUGCCGAAGCGACGAGCGAUGGUUGACUGGCAAACAUUGUAGACGCGGGAGGUAAUUCCUUCACGGCCAUGCCUGUGGAAGUUACAGUUGGCAAGAAAGUCAACUGUUAACAACCCCUGAAAGUAAGAUGGAACGUUUAGGAUGGCCGCCCCCCCCGAUCGAAAACCUUUGUCCGUAAUGGCCCUGGACAACGAAAAUGAUAGACCUGCUUCACAAUUCCUGAUCUUAUCCCCCCGUUGCACUCGCACAAUCACCAAAAAUGCAGAGAACCGGCUCUGCGAAGUGGUGACAGAUACAGUGUUUCUCGUUUGUGGGAAAACCCACAAAACUCCAAGUAGGACAAUAACACGACCCCGGUAAGUGAGUGUUGGCGAACUGCAGUCCACGACACAGUUCAUUCGUGGUGAGAAACGAGAACGGGAGUGUUUUCCACCAGUCUUCCUGACGCGUCGUCUAAAUCUCAAGCGGCAUCUCGAGGUUUUUGCCCGCUGCUUUUGUCUAAGCAAAGCGGUGCGAAAGACGGUUCAUGCAGGGAGAAUCAUCCCACCUCCCACGUGGAAGUCGCGAAUUCUCUGCCCGGCAGAAAAAAGGGAAAACGAACAGGUCCGGAACCCCUACUCUCUCCUGAACAAAAGUUGAGAGAAAGGCUGUGUUCUUGCCCCCGGUGAAACGUCUCUUGUAUGCUGCGAGUGGAGUAGUCAGUGCUUCCUCGAAGACCUGAGCCGUUGAUUGUGCGCCUGUUUGCGCGUAUCGUCUUCUGUUCGAUCCAACCAGAAACGCAUGGGCAGCUAUGGCAG